rnacentral:rRNA from 1 species
ACGGCUCAGUAACACGUAGUCAACCUGCCCUCGAGUCGAGAAUAAUCUCGGGAAACUGAGGCUAAUGCUCGAUAGAUCAAGAUUCCUGGAAUGGGUUCUGGUCGAAAUGAUGCAACAGCAUCUUGUUGUAUUCGCUCCAGGAUGGGACUGCGGCCGAUCAGGCUGUUGGUGGGGUAAAGGCCCACCAAACCAGUAACCGGUACGGGCUUUGAGAGAAGGAGCCCGGAGAUGGACACUGAGACAAGGGUCCAGGUCCUACGGGGCGCAGCAGGCGCGAAACCUUCGCAAUGCGCGCAAGCGCGACGAGGUUAUUCUGAGUGAUUUCCGCUGAGGAAAUCUUUUCCUAGAUCUAAAACGUCUGGGGAAUAAGGGGAGGGCAAGUCUGGUGUCAGCCGCCGCGGUAAUACCAGCUCCUCGAGUGGUCAGGGCGUUUAUUGGGCCUAAAGCAUCCGUAGCCUGCUCAGUAGGUCUCCUGUUAAAUCCAACGACUCAAUCGUUGGUCUGCAGGAGAUACCGCUGGGCUAGGAGGCGGGAGAGGCGGACGGUACUCCGAGGGUAGGGGUAAAAUCCUUUGAUCCCCGGAAGACCACCAGUGGCGAAGGCGGUCCGCCAGAACGCGCUCGACGGUGAGGGAUGAAAGCUGGGGGAGCGAACCGGAUUAGAUACCCGGGUAGUCCCAGCUGUAAACGAUGCAAGCUAGGUGACACGACGCCUUCGGGGCAUCGUGGUGCCGCAGGGAAGCCGUUAAGCUUGCCGCCUGGGGAGUACGGACGCAAGUCUGAAACUUAAAGGAAUUGGCGGGGGAG